ensembl:lncRNA
GUUCAUCAUUGGCCCUCUCAUCCAGGACAUAGGUGUACACCACUGAAGCUUGGCCUUUACUUCUGAUUGAUCAGGAAGCUGUGAGUGAGCCAGACACCUGAACUAUUUCUCUAGGAAUAUAUGCAAUGAAGGUGGUAUGUCUGAAUGAAAAAACAACCUACAAGGGGGUUUCACCCCAUAUUCUCAUUCCUGAAUGACAAUGAUUCCCUGAGUCCUUGGACGGAAGUUGUGUCCUGGCUCUGUUUUCCUAGAAACCCCCCAAAAGUAGUGCAAAUAGAACAGCAGCAGGUGCUCUUUUUCACUGAUGUUCAAAAACAAGGCCACUUCGAGCUCCUGGGA